GGAAAUUAAGGAGCAGCUCCCAGUAAAAGGAGAGAAAGAUUAGCAACUACCAACAUCUGCCUGAGCAACAAGAACAAGGCAUUAACCUCAGGAAAUGAAGUUCAGACCUAUCUUUUGGAGGCCGCUCUUAUGCCAGGGAGCAAUCAGUGCCCAAAACACGAGACUUCAAACCUA